CAGGCUUCAUCCACUCAUCCAGCUCCCCAGCCUGUCAAGUCAUGGUCUCAUACCUAACAGAGGAGGGGACUUGGACUAAUUGCAUCACCUUACGACUACAGCGUUGUUAUUGUGGUGGAGGAUGUCAGUGCCAUCUUGUUGUUUCACCAGUAUUGGGGUACUUGAUGGUGGCUUUAUCCGUACUAGCAUUGUAUUGCACAGUGGUGUAUGUGUGGUUGCAUGUGUGUAUGAAUGUUUGUUGUGUAAAGUUGACUGUUUUCCGUGUUGUGUGUGUGAUUUAAUUUGUUUUCAGAUUACUAUGCAUCUCUGAAUGUGCCAUUGUGGUGGAGUCAGUAUAUGUUAUUUUGAAUAUUUAACUUUUUUGGUUUACAUUGACUGUGUCAAGUGAGAAUGUGUAUUUAAUGUCUGCACUCAGUAAAUUGUAAAUGCAGAUGUUGACAUGUA